CCAUAAAGGCCAGGCCAGCCUGCGACCUGCUACCCCUGCUGUCCAGCAACUGAUUCAGAGUGCCCUCCGGCCCAGCCAUGAAGCUCAUCCUGUCGCUCUCGGUCUUGGCGGUGGCUCUGUUGAUGGUUUUGGAAGGCCCAGCUCCGGCCCAGGCCGACUCAGUCAUCCCGGACAAAGUGCAGACACUUUGGAGCAACGUGAAGGACACGGUCGAGAAAGCCUUUGAAAGCAUCAACUGGGACUGGUUUUCAGAUAAAUUCAGAGAAGCAACGGAUUCAAUAAAAAGUACAUUCUCCUGAACACCAGGAGGGCUGCCCCUUUCUUCUGUGGCUGCGCCCCUGGAGGGGGCUCUAACAUUUCCCCCGCACCACGGCCUCCUGUUCGGAGGACUUCCUCCAUUAUGCCCCACAUUCCCUCCCACCACCACCACCAAUAAAAAUCCUAUAGAGAAA